rnacentral:rRNA from 1 species
GCCCUUCAGGCCUAACACAUGCAAGUCGAACGGAAAGGCCCUUUCGGGGGUACUCGAGUGGCGAACGGGUGAGUAACACGUGGGUGAUCUGCCCUGCACUUUGGGAUAAGCCUGGGAAACUGGGUCUAAUACCGAAUACACCCUGCUGGUCGCAUGGCCUGGUGGGGGAAAGUGCGGUGUGUAAUAGCACUGUGCGGUGUGGGAUGGGCCCGCGGCCUAUCAGCUUGUUGAUGGGGUGAUGGCCUACCAAGGCGACGACGGGUAGCCGGCCUGAGAGGGUGUCCGGCCACACUGGGACUGAGAUACGGCCCAGACUCCUACGGGAGGCAGCAGUGGGGAAUAUUGCACAAUGGGCGCAAGCCUGAUGCAGCGACGCCGCGUGGGGGAUGACGGCCUUCGGGUUGUAAACCUCUUUCACCAUCGGCGAAGCCCAUGAUUUUUGUUGUGGGUGACGGUAGGUGGAGAAGAAGCACCGGCCAACUACGUGCCAGCAGCCGCGGUAAU